AUGACUCCAAGGGUCCCCCCAAACACUUCAGUAGAAAGUAGAGAGAGAGAGAGGCAUAAUUAAGAUAAUGCCCAUAAUAAUCUCUGAUGAAGUGUUUGAGGGAACUCUAGGGGCCAU
rnacentral:pre_miRNA from 1 species